rnacentral:rRNA from 1 species
GAUGAACGCUGGCGGCGUGCCUAAUACAUGCAAGUCGAGCCAACAGACGAGGAGCUUGCUCCUCUGACGUUAGCGGCGGACGGGUGAGUAACACGUGGAUAACCUACCUAUAAGACUGGGAUAACUUCGGGAAACCGGAGCUAAUACCGGAUAAUAUAUUGAACCGCAUGGUUCAAUAGUGAAAGACGGUUUUGCUGUCACUUAUAGAUGGAUCCGCGCCGCAUUAGCUAGUUGGUAAGGUAACGGCUUACCAAGGCAACGAUGCGUCGCCGACCUGAGAGGGUGAUCGGCCACACUGGAACUGAGACACGGUCCAGACUCCUACGGGAGGCAGCAGUAGGGAAUCUUCCGCAAUGGGCGAAAGCCUGACGGAGCAACGCCGCGUGAGUGAUGAAGGUCUUCGGAUCGUAAAACUCUGUUAUUAGGGAAGAACAAAUGUGUAAGUAACUAUGCACGUCUUGACGGUACCUAAUCAGAAAGCCACGGCUAACUACGUG